rnacentral:rRNA from 1 species
GAGACAGCAGUCGCCGCGGUAAUACGGAGGGUGCAAGCGUUAUCCGGAUUUAUUGGGUUUAAAGGGUCCGUAGGCGGAUCUGUAAGUCAGUGGUGAAAUCUCACAGCUUAACUGUGAAACUGCCAUUGAUACUGCAGGUCUUGAGUAAAUUUGAAGUGGCUGGAAUAAGUAGUGUAGCGGUGAAAUGCAUAGAUAUUACUUAGAACACCAAUUGCGAAGGCAGGUCACUAAGAUUUAACUGACGCUGAUGGACGAAAGCGUGGGGAGCGAACAGGAUUAGAUACCCGAGUAGUCCCUGUCUCUUAUAA